UGGGGAAUCUUGCGCAAUGGGCGAAAGCCUGACGCAGCGACGCCGCGUGGGGGAAGAAGGCCUUCGGGUUGUAAACCUCUUUCAGCAGGGACGAAGCCACUCGGGUGAAUAGCCCAGAGGGUGACGGUACCUGCAGAAGAAGCCCCGGCUAACUACGUGCCAGCAGCCGCGGUAAUACGUAGGGGGCAAGCGUUGUCCGGAUUUAUUGGGCGUAAAGAGCGUGUAGGCGGCCAGACAGGUCCGUUGUGAAACUAGAGGCUUAACCUCUAGACGUCGAUGGAAACCGUCUGGCUAGAGUCCGGAAGAGGAGAAUGGAAUUCCUGGUGUAGCGGUGAAAUGCGCAGAUAUCAGGAAGAACACCCGUGGCUAAGGCGGUUCUCUAGUACGGUACUGACGCUGAGACGCGAAAGCGUGGGGAGCGGAACAGGAUUAGAUACCCUGGUAGUCCACGCCGUAAACGAUGGGUGCUAGGUGUGGGGGGUGUCGACUCCCGUCCGUGCCGAAGCUAACGCAUUAA
rnacentral:rRNA from 1 species